GCGCAAGUGCCGGCCUGCUUACACAUGCAAGUCGAACGAUGAUGCCCAGCUUGCUGGGCGGAUUAGUGGCGAACGGGUGAGUAAUACGUGAGUAACCUGCCCUUGACUCUGGGAUAAGCCUGGGAAACUGGGUCUAAUACUGGAUACUACUUCCUGCCGCAUGGUGGGUGGUGGAAAGGGUUUUACUGGUUUUGGAUGGGCUCACGGCCUAUCAGCUUGUUGGUGGGGUAAUGGCUCACCAAGGCGACGACGGGUAGCCGGCCUGAGAGGGUGACCGGCCACACUGGGACUGAGACACGGCCCAGACUCCUACGGGAGGCAGCAGUGGGGAAUAUUGCACAAUGGGCGGAAGCCUGAUGCAGCGACGCCGCGUGAGGGAUGACGGCCUUCGGGUUGUAAACCUCUUUCAGUAGGGAAGAAGCGAGAGUGACGGUACCUGCAGAAGAAGCGCCGGCUAACUACGUGCCAGCAGCCGCGGUAAUACGUAGGGCGCAAGCGUUGUCCGGAAUUAUUGGGCGUAAAGAGCUCGUAGGCGGUUUGUCGCGUCUGCUGUGAAAGCCCGGGGCUCAACCCCGGGUCUGCAGUGGGUACGGGCAGACUAGAGUGCAGUAGGGGAGACUGGAAUUCCUGGUGUAGCGGUGAAAUGCGCAGAUAUCAGGAGGAACACCGAUGGCGAAGGCAGGUCUCUGGGCUGUUACUGACGCUGAGGAGCGAAAGCAUGGGGAGCGAACAGGAUUAGAUACCCUGGUAGUCCAUGCCGUAAACGUUGGGCACUAGGUGUGGGGGACAUUCCACGUUUUCCGCGCCGUAGCUAACGCAUUAAGUGCCCCGCCUGGGGAGUACGGCCGCAAGGCUAAAACUCAAAGGAAUUGACGGGGGCCCGCACAAGCGGCGGAGCAUGCGGAUUAAUUCGAUGCAACGCGAAGAACCUUACCAAGGCUUGACAUUCACCGGACCGCCUCAGAGAUGGGGUUUCCCUUCGGGGCUGGUGGACAGGUGGUGCAUGGUUGUCGUCAGCUCGUGUCGUGAGAUGUUGGGUUAAGUCCCGCAACGAGCGCAACCCUCGUUCUAUGUUGCCAGCACGUGAUGGUGGGGACUCAUAGGAGACUGCCGGGGUCAACUCGGAGGAAGGUGGGGAUGACGUCAAAUCAUCAUGCCCCUUAUGUCUUGGGCUUCACGCAUGCUACAAUGGCCGGUACAAAGGGUUGCGAUACUGUGAGGUGGAGCUAAUCCCAAAAAGCCGGUCUCAGUUCGGAUUGAGGUCUGCAACUCGACCUCAUGAAGUCGGAGUCGCUAGUAAUCGCAGAUCAGCAACGCUGCGGUGAAUACGUUCCCGGGCCUUGUACACACCGCCCGUCAAGUCACGAAAGUUGGUAACACCCGAAGCCGGUGGCCUAACCCCUUGUGGGAGGGAGCCGUCGAAGGUGGGACUGGCGAUUGGGACUAAGUCGUAACAAGGAUGCCGGUAGGG
rnacentral:rRNA from 1 species